ensembl:lncRNA
AUGCAGCGAUGUUCUUAUUUAUACAUCAGGAUGCAAGGGAGGAUACUGCACCUCUGCAUGCUUCUCUCCAACCUCCACUGGUGCUGUGUUUGUCCUGACAUAGCCUGGCACAGCAAGGCGAUGCAUGGCUUGACCGACAACCCUCCAGAGAAAAGGCAAGAUUUGGAAAAGAAGAUUUGACAUGAAAUCUGUGACGCUGUGCUGUACCAGUGGCUUUGUGGGACCUUUUAGGAUGAGAAAUAUCCCGCACCUGGCUGCGAUGGCGAGAGGGCUCCCAGUUGCAGCACUGCGGCUGGGGACGAGGUCACCAUUGUGCUGGAUUUUGGCCCAAUAACUGCUCGUUCUCUACAGGCAGUUAGGCUGCUUCAGUGCGCGGGUCUGGCUGCCUCAAGGGCUGCUGGACAGAGCCGGACGCCGGGAUCCAGCAGUGCCGCUCUUCUCCCACCUGCUCCAGGCGGGACGUCAGCUCUGCGGCUGUCUGCAGACCUGGAGCCUCUGUGGUGCGUAACUGCAGCCACCUGAGCGCGACGUUAUGCGCAGGAAGACUGGCCACAGUUUUCCUCUUAUCUGAAGCCUCAGUUAUUCUUUGGUAAAGUUAAUAAACUAACUUUUUGCUUAGUUGUUUUUUUUUAA